rnacentral:rRNA from 1 species
AACCGGGGAUUGCCUUAGUAACGGCGAGUGAAGCGGCAAAAGCUCAAAUUUGAAAUCUGGCGCGCGUCCGAGUUGUAAUUUGAAGAAGGCGACUUUGUAGCUGGUCCUUGUCUAUGUUCCUUGGAACAGGACGUCAUAGAGGGUGAGAAUCCCGUGUGGCGAGGAUCCCAGUUAUUUGUAAAGUGCUUUCGACGAGUCGAGUUGUUUGGGAAUGCAGCUCUAAGUGGGUGGUAAAUUCCAUCUAAAGCUAAAUAUUGGCGAGAGACCGAUAGCGAACAAGUACAGUGAUGGAAAGAUGAAAAGAACUUUGAAAAGAGAGUGAAAAAGUACGUGAAAUUGUUGAAAGGGAAGGGCAUUUGAUCAGACAUGGCGUUUGCUUCGGCUUUCGCUGGGCCAGCAUCAGUUUUAGCGGUUGGAUAAAUCCUCGGGAAUGUGGCUCUGCUUCGGUAGAGUGUUAUAGCCCGUGGGAAUACAGCCAGCUGGGACUGAGGAUUGCGACUUUUGUCAAGGAUGCUGGCGUAAUGGUUAAAUGCCGCCCGUCUUGAACCACGGAC